CUUCCUUGGGCUGUGGACAAAUGAACAAAUUGCAAAAGUUAAAUGGGGGCAGGGGCCUACCAUGGAGCAACUGACUCACAAUAAUUGUUUGUGUGCCUGCUCUUACCAGCACAGUGUAGUCCUCAGUAAAAUAGGGAUAAAUUAACACAGUUCAAUUUUCACUUAUUGCAGGGUAGCAGUAGGCCCACAAACAAUUAAUUCACGGGCACAGUGGGGACCUUGUCCAUGAUGAUUAAUAUGGCUUUCCUAGAACAGAUCUGACUGCCUACACUUCAGUCAACCCUGACACUAGGUACUAGACAUUUUGUACUGUUUCCUGGCUCCAAUCUAUAAAAUUCAUAAACAGUUAUAGGAGAAGGGACUGGAACCCAAGUCCUCCACUCCCAGGGACUGUGAUGAUGACACAGGCUGGAGACCAUUGGAACCAUUAUAUAACUUGCUUUGUUCUUUGGACAAAUGUUAUGCAAGUUGAUUAAGGCAAUGAUUUAUGGCUAUGCAAAACAACAAAUUAAGAAACACUGGGAGAGGCUGCCAAACUUUUAGAAUUAUUUGUCAAUAGUCUACAUGUUUAAGCUACAUUAAACUUUUCCUAACAUUUCCAGGACCAAGCAGAAAUACCCUUUUUGUUUGUCUGAGACACUACUUUAUGCAAGCAAGGGACUCGCAAUGACUCCUGAAUUCCACUUCUAGCUCUGUGACUUACUUGCUUAC